rnacentral:rRNA from 1 species
ACGAGCGGCGAACGGGUGAGUAACACGUGGGUGACCUGCCCUCAGCUCUGGGAUAAGCCCGGGAAACUGGGUCUAAUACCGGAUAGGACCUCUCAGCGCAUGUUGGGUGGUGGAAAGUUUUUUCGGCUGGGGAUGGGCCCGCGGCCUAUCAGCUUGUUGGUGGGGUGAUGGCCUACCAAGGCGGUGACGGGUAGCCGGCCUGAGAGGGCGACCGGCCACACUGGGACUGAGACACGGCCCAGACUCCUACGGGAGGCAGCAGUGGGGAAUAUUGCGCAAUGGGCGGAAGCCUGACGCAGCGACGCCGCGUGGGGGAUGACGGCCUUCGGGUUGUAAACCUCUUUCGCCAGGGACGAAGCUUUCGGGUGACGGUACCUGGAUAAGAAGCACCGGCCAACUACGUGCCAGCAGCCGCGGUAACACGUAGGGUGCGAGCGUUGUCCGGAAUUAUUGGGCGUAAAGAGCUCGUAGGCGGUGUGUCACGUCGGCCGUGAAAACUUGGGGCUUAACUCUGAGCGUGCGGUCGAUACGGGCAUCACUUGAGUUCGGCAGGGGAGACUGGAAUUCCUGGUGUAGCGGUGAAAUGCGCAGAUAUCAGGAGGAACACCGGUGGCGAAGGCGGGUCUCUGGGCCGAUACUGACGCUGAGGAGCGAAAGCGUGGGGAGCGAACAGGAUUAGAUACCCUGGUAGUCCACGCCGUAAACGUUG